GAUAAACGCUGGCGGCGUGCAUGAGACAUGCAGUUCAACCAAGGAUCGGGCUUUCUCGAUCCUUAGUUGCGGGCGGCUGGGUUACGCGUUAGUUACCUACCCCCGAGUUGGGAAUUACUUCCCCAAAGGGUUGCUUAUACCCCCUUUUGUCGCACCUUCCUUCGUUCGGGUUAAGCCGCAAGGCGCUUCGGGAGGGGCCUGCGUCCGAUUAGCUCGUUGGUGGGGUAAUGGCUUACCAAGGCGACGAUCGGUAGGUGGUCUGAGAGGACGAUCACCCAGACUGGGACUGAGACACGGCCCAGACUCCUACGGGAGGCAGCAGUCGGGAAUUUUGCUCAAUGGGGGAAACCCUGAAGCAGCAACGCCGCGUGAGGGAUGAAGGCCUUCGGGUUGUAAACCUCUUUUGUCAGGGACGAUGAUGACGGUACCUGGCGAAUAAGCCACGGCUAACUACGUG
rnacentral:rRNA from 1 species